rnacentral:lncRNA from 10 species
CUUCUUUAUUAAAUUUCACUUCCAUGAUGAGCAGUACAAAGUAAAAUUUCUCACAAACUUUUUUGUAAAAAUUUGGUGAAAUGUUAUAUUGAGAGCCUCUCAACAUUUUAUUAUUCAUGUGUCUAUCUGUGGACAUUUUCAUGGGCUCAAUACAUUAACAGAUUAAACAUAGUUUGUAUAGAAAAUGUUAUUUUCACUUAAGAAAGUAAAAGUUGUUAUGAUAAUCCCAGAGUAUAUAAAACUCUAUCUAUCUAUCUAUCUAUCUAUCUACCUAUCUACCUACCUACCUACCUACCUAUCGAGAGACAGAGAGAGAGAAAUCUAGUAAAUUCAUGGCUGGAAAUACUACCCACCCAUGCUCUGCAGUAAGGACUAGAAACUCAAUAUUCUUUAAUGUAACCAGGUUGCCAGAAAGCAAAGCAGAUUCUGUGUAAUUCCCAUUUUCAUAGAAAUUCAUAAUACCAUAUGAAUCCUAGUGGUGUAAUAGCUACCACCUCUUCCUUAUACUUCACACUGGAGUUGCUUUUGUAUUUUUUCUUUUGGGAGAGGUAAAUUUGAGGGUAGUAGCCACUAUUUACAGUAAAAGGCUGUUAUGGUGUUUUUCAAGGAACCGAAAUAAGAAAACUUUAUAAGCAGGGGAAGUGGUGGAAGCAAGAAACAGUAUAACUUGGGGAGCUUCUCAAGGGCUUUCAGAAUUGAAUAACAUCCUUAGGGGGUACAAAACUAGAUGUGGGAUGAUAGUAAUGAGAUUUUGUUGUACCUUUUAGACUAAAAGAAUAAAGGUAGUCAAAGGGACUAUGAUUUGCUUCCAGGGAAUACAUGGUUACCCAGACAUAUUUAUUGAGAUCUGAUGUAUUUCUGGAUUCCUGUCAUUCUGUUAUGAAUCCCAUACUUUCUAGACUGAUUUCCAGACAUGAAGAUAUUUUCUUUUUUCUUUUUCUUUUCUUUUUGAGACAGUCUCGCUCUGUCACCCACGCUGGAAGGCAAUAGUAUGAUCUCAGCUCACUGCAACCUCUGUCUCCCAGACUCAAGCAAUUCUCCUGCCUCAGCCUCCCGAUUAGCUGGGAUUACAGGCGCACACCAUCAUGCCCCGCUAAUUUUUGUAUCUUUUAGUGGAGACAGGGUUUCACCAUGUUGGCCAGGCUGGUUUCGACCUCCUGACCUCAAGUGAUCCACCUGCCUUGGCCUCCCAAAGUGCUGGGAUUACAGGCGUGAGCCACCGCGCCCGGGCUAGACAUGAAGACAUUUCCCAGAAAUCCUGCCUAUCCCCAGAACUCCCUUGUCUCUGAGUUAGCUGCCUUCUUAAUCCUUCAUAUUCUUACAGAUGGAUUCAGUCAGAUCAUCUAGUCUACAAUGUUGCAUUCUUCAAUUACACCUCAAUAUUUACGGAGGGUUUACUAUGAACCAAGCACAGUAGAGACCUAAAGAUACCUGUAACAUGUGGACAGUUUAUAAGCAAACUGGAGUAAUCCUACCCUAUGAAAAAGAAGUUACAAAGUAGACAACAAGUGCUACAUUGGCUUAAAGUAAAGAGAGAGGGAGGAGUCAGCAGGAGAGGGGAGGGGAGGGAGGGAGAGAUUUAACUAUUAAUCAUAAGCGAUCACUUAACUUGAGGUCCACCUUAACAGGGUGAUCAGAGGAUUCCUGGAGGAAACGGAGAGGUUAGACAUCCAAGAAGAGCCUGGAAGUGGCCUGUGUGUGGCCUUGCCUGACAGUCUUGCAGUCUAACAGUUCGGUUCCUGCAGCAGUUCCCAAACUGUGGUCUGUUGUACAUUUUAUGGGAAUUAUAAAGGUGUUAUGAAAAAGAGGGAAGGAGAGGAAAAGUGUAAAGCAAAUGAGGGGAAAAACCUGGAUUAGCUGGAUUUUUUAAGGCAGGAUGAUCAUGAUCUUUUAAUGUGUUAAUGUUCAUUGUUAAUCUGUAAGACAGGGGUGUGGAAAAUAUUAUUUCCCAAAUGUAUCUAAUCAAAGGGCUUUUUGUUGUUGUUUGUUUGUUUAGGUCUUGUUUUGGGUAACGAGUACUUCACAAGACUAGUAUUCAAUAAGCCACAUUGUGGGGAAUGCCACCAUUACUUGUUAGGUGACUUACAUUAGCACUGACAAGGUAGAAAAGUCAUUCCCUGUGAGCCUUCUCCUGUGAUGCAGAGGAGUCAACUUUUGAAUCAACUCUGACUCCAAGACCUCUCUGACACAAGCUCUUCUUUGCCUCUUGAUGUGAACUUUGCUUUCUACGUAAAACAACAAAAGCAUUGUAUCUGCUGACCAAUAAGGGCUUCAGUAGGAACAGAGGAAUGAGAUUCUGACUUGCAUAAUAUUUCAGGGCCUUCACAGAGCACUGCUUGCUAGUUAACCUCUUGGGGGCAGGCAGGAGUUUCUGCCCCCAAGCAUUAAUGCAGCUAGGGAAAUAUCUGUUCCCAACAUCAUCAGGGUAAUAAGAAAACCCAUUGCAGAUUAGUUCUUUUAAUUCAAGGUACCAUCCGACUGAAAUGCUGCACAGCUCCUGUGCUGCCUCCAAAUUAAGUGACUGGAGGCAAUUUUCAUUCUAUUUCACAUUUUGUCUUUUCUACCAAUAGCACAGGGCAUCCCUCUCUGCUCCAUUACCAUGGAUGGUGCCAGUUUUUGACUUUGAUUUCCGAGUCCACUUUUUAAGGCAUCAUGUUCGUGCAAGUGGACUCCAAGCCCUCAGAACUAGGUCAGGCAUUUGCUGGAGGUCAUUACAAGGCUACAAAAUAGAGCAUGCUUAAUUCUGUUAUUUCUGAAGAUUUUCUUCUUCUCUCUCAUGUGCAUAGAAGACAAUCAGUACUUAAUUAAAUUUUGGAACUGUUCCUGAAAAUUUCAGACUAUCAAAGAUGCAUGUGACCUCCUUUCACCCUAGCCACUCAAGAGAGGUUUAACAAAAGCAUGUAAAAAGGAAAGAAGGGGGCUUGUCGACCAAAGACUUGAGAAACUAUAUCAAUUGUUGCACUUCUAUUUUAAAUGCCAAUGCUUAAAGCAUCUAGCAAGAAAAUCCUUAGUACACAGAAUGCAGGGAUGAAAGUAAGCUGGUCAUGAGUUCAAUCUGUUCAUAUUAGGUAGAGGAGCGACUUAACCAAGAUGAAUAUUAGUACAGUGAUAGCCCAAUAAAUAUUCAGGUUAUUACCCAAUUAGCAGGAGCAUAAACUAACAUUAAAUAGUGAGCAGACUGAGGUGUCCAGGUCCCACCCUCCAAUAUUGAGGCACUCAGUUCCCCAGAUGUUGGGUGUGUGGUGAGUGACAGGUGGGAAUCCCUUCUGAGAGUCCUUGAGGGACAACAGUCACCUCAUCCAGAUCAAGUCUCUUUCCUGAGGCAGCCUAUACAUCCAGUGUGGGCUCUGUAAGAACCUGUCCUGCCGCCCUUUUGGCCAAGCCUUGCUCUCUGCAGCCCACACAGGUCUCGUUCCUGAGAGCAUUUUCCAAUCAGCUUCUUUCUUGCUAAUCUCCAUCUCAGAGCCUGCCUACCAGCUGACAUCAAUUAAAUUGCUGGGCUUCUCUCAACCAGUUUUCUUUUUGAUAUACUGGGGACUCUAAUACCUACAUACCACAGGAUUCCUGCUCAAGGUUGUUUAUACUAAGUAUCAGAACUGGGUCAUCACAUUCCAAAAGCUGUGCUCUUUUCCCUACUCCAUCAUGUUGUUCUAUUUUGAAUAUGAAACUUUUUCCAAUCUUCUUCACUUCUCUCAUCACACGAUGGGUAGCACAUGCCCUCCCAACACACGCAGGCUGCCCCUCAGACACAUGGCCCCAGGGUCUUCUCCUGAAGUUCUGCUAAUUGACAGCUUCUUAUGAGUCCAUUUAGACAAGUUAAUUAAUUCAUUCUGGAUCUCAAUGUCCUCAUCUGUAAAAUGAAAUAAAAGUACCUAUCUUGUAAGAUU